rnacentral:rRNA from 1 species
AAUCUUGCGCAAUGGGCGAAAGCCUGACGCAGCAACGCCGCGUGGGGGAUGAAGGCUCUCGGGUUGUAAACCCCUUUCAGCAGGGACGAAAUUGACGGUACCUGCAGAAGAAGCCCCGGCCAACUACGUGCCAGCAGCCGCGGUGACACGUAGGGGGCGAGCGUUGUCCGGAAUUAUUGGGCGUAAAGAGCUCGUAGGCGGUUUAGUAAGUCAGAUGUGAAAGGUUGGGGCUCAACCCUAAGACUGCAUCCGAUACUGCUAUGACUAGAGUCCGGUAGAGGAGUGUGGAAUUCCUGGUGUAGCGGUGAAAUGCGCAGAUAUCAGGAGGAACACCGACGGCGAAGGCAGCACUCUGGGCCGGUACUGACGCUCAGGAGCGAAAGCGUGGGUAGCAAACAGGAUUAGAUACCCUGGUAGUCCACGCCGUA